GACGAACCGUGCGACCGUUGUUCGGAAUCACUGGGCUUAAAGGGCGCGUAGGCGGGUUCGCAAGUCAGGGGUGAAAUCUUUCAGCUUAACUGGAAAACAGCCCCUGAUACUGCGAGUCUCGAGGGAGGUAGGGGCAUGUGGAACUUCCGGUGGAGCGGUGAAAUGCGUAGAUAUCGGAAGGAACGCCGGUGGCGAAAGCGACGUGCUGGACCUCUUCUGACGCUGAGGCGCGAAAGCUAGGGGAGCAAACGGG
rnacentral:rRNA from 1 species